GGGGUGUAAAGUGUUAGUAACCUGGAGUGGAAGGGGGGUCCGAACCGUGACCAGGGAUGGGGGGCGGGGGACUUUGUGGAGAAAUUAAUAAAAUCACCAGGGAAGGGGUGUCAGUAUAUAGAGAGCGCUUUAAAAUAAUAAUAAUAAUAAAGCUUUGGGUCUCUCUCACACCAUCCUCGGGGCUUCACACGGUAACGGCGGCGGCAGCACCAUCAGCACAGCGCCAGGCUGCCUCUCACUGCCGGCAAACAAAAAUAAAACAUAUAGCGAUCUCCGUGACCGGGAGGGUGAGGCCGGUUAAAGGAACAUCCCGGCAGAGAGCCGCGGCGAGGGCACAGAGCCUCCUUCUCCCGCCGGAAGCGGCGUCUGAGGAGAAACGCGACGCACUGCUUUCCACUUCCG